UACGUAGGGGGCAAGCGUUGUCCGGAAUCAUUGGGCGUAAAGCGCGUGUAGGCGGCUUGGUAAGUCCGCUCUGAAAGCCCGGGGCUCAACCCCGGGAGGCGGGUGGAUACUGUCAAGCUCGAGUCCGGAAGAGGCGAGUGGAAUUCCUGGUGUAGCGGUGAAAUGCGCAGAUAUCAGGAGGAACACCGGUGGCGAAGGCGGGUCUCUGGGCAGUUACUGACGCUGAGGAGCGAAAGCGUGGGGAGCGAACAGG
rnacentral:rRNA from 1 species